rnacentral:rRNA from 1 species
AUUGAACGCUGGCGGCAGGCUUAACACAUGCAAGUCGAACGAGUGGCGCACGGGUGAGUAAUGCUUGGGAAUCUGGCUUAUGGAGGGGGAUAACGACGGGAAACUUUCGCUAAUACCGCGUACCAUAGGAUGAGCCCAAGCGGGAUUAGGGAGUUGGUGGGGUAAUGGCCUACCAAGCCGACGAUCUCUAGCUGGUCUGAGAGGAUGACGAGCCACAUGGGGACUGAGAAACGGCCAGGAUUCCUCAGGGAGGCAGCAGUGGGGAAUAUUGCGCAAGGGGGGAAACCGGACGCAGCAAUGCCGCGUGAAUGAAGAAGGCCUUCGGGUUGUAAAGUUCUUUCGUUGACGAGGCGGUAAUCACAGAAGAAGCACCGGCUAACUCCGUGCCAGCAGCCGCGGUAAUAC